AUAGGAAUCAUCUGGGGCUUUUGUUAAAAGUGCAGGUUCUGAUUCAAUAGAUCUGGGAUGUGGGCCUGAGAUUCUGCAUUUCCAUCAAGUUCCAGAGCGAUGCCCAG
rnacentral:miRNA from 1 species